GACGAACGCUGGCGGCGUGCUUAACACAUGCAAGUCGAACGGAAAGGCCCCUUCGGGGGUACUCGAGUGGCGAACGGGUGAGUAACACGUGAGUAACCUGCCCUUGACUUCGGGAUAACUUCAGGAAACUGGGGCUAAUACCGGAUAGGAAUCCUUGCUGCAUGGUGGGGGUUGGAAAGCUUCGGCGGUUUUGGAUGGACUCGCGGCUUAUCAGCUUGUUGGUGGGGUAGUGGCUUACCAAGGCUUUGACGGGUAGCCGGCCUGAGAGGGCGACCGGCCACAUUGGGACUGAGAUACGGCCCAGACUCCUACGGGAGGCAGCAGUGGGGAAUAUUGCAUAAUGGGCGGAAGCCUGAUGCAGCAACGCCGCGUGCGGGAUGACGGCCUUCGGGUUGUAAACCGCUUUCAGCAGGGGCGAAGCUUGUGGUGACGGUACCUGCAGAAGAAGCACCGGCUAACUACGUG
rnacentral:rRNA from 1 species